GGGCCGGCCGCAGCGGGGAGCGCGAUUGGUCCGGACUUGUGGUGCCACUGGCCGCCGGCUCCGCCCCGGCUCCCUCCUC
rnacentral:pre_miRNA from 1 species